ensembl:processed_transcript
GGCGCCUACGGGAUCUGUGUGAAUGGAGCUACUCGGGUUGCCUCUGCUGUCAUUAGGAUCUAAGGCACCCUGCUGAGGCCGCGUUAUUGUAAAGGGACAGGCUGGUACGGACGGCGAGUUCCUAUCGUCCAAACUCUCUGGUAGUUAGUGGUGAUUGCGUAGAUAUGGUCUCUGUGCUGGUGGGAUACAGCUGUCUGGGUGCAGCGGGCGGCCGAUGAGGCCAGAAAGGAAAGAAGUUUGAGGAACUGUUGAAGACAAGGUGCAGUAGAGGAGGUUUCUCCCAGGAGACAUUUCUGACAAGGAUGCGUGGGGCAGAAGGAACAGCAAAGGCGUUCAGGCUCGCUGGGAGAAGAAGAGGCACGCUAGUCUGGACCGGGGUUAUGUCAGUAACUUCUUUGCAAGGGCGUGGAGGAUCUGGUCUUCGCAAGAGGCUAAAGAGUAGCGCCCGCCGUAGCGCCCCGCCCCCGACUUUGCCUAGCACAUUCUUUUGUUCGUUUGUUUGUUUGUUUGUUUUGUAGCCCUGGCUGUCCUGGAACUCACUCUGUAGACCAGGCUGGCCUCGAACUCAGAAAUCCGCCUGCCUCUGCCUCCGGAGCGCCACCGCCCGGCUUGCCUAGCACAUUCUUGUUCCGUUAUUAUUUGCGGAAGAAAGGGAUAUGCACACAAUCCCCGCGGUUAUCUAAGUAGAGUUGAGGCAGGAAUGAAGAAAGAGGAACAGAUCUAAGGUGGGCUUCAGGAGGAAGGAACAAAGGUGACUUAGAUUUGGAUUACAUAUUGCUGUGAAAGAUAGGAAAGUGGCCAAUGUGCAGCGUGGUGAUCCCGGAGAGAUGGAGAGAAGAGAUUAUCUCGGUCCAAGGAGAUGGGUGUGUCCUGUGGGACAGUCAGGAAGAGGAGCCUGCUUUCCUGAGGUAUUCAUUUUUUGGGGUGGGGUUAGCAGAUCUAGACAGUUUGGUCUGGUACCCUUGUUGGAUUUAAGAUUAUUUAAUGUGUAGGAUAUUAGGGAUAAGCUGAUUUUCCUUCAUUGCUGUUGUGUCUGCUGUGGUCAGACAUGAGUGGUAAGUGGAUGCUAGCUGUUCUCUGGUGGAACAGAACUCAGAAUGAAAACAAACAAACAAUGACCCUCACUUACAUCAUUCAGUCUGGGUUAUUCACACUAGAAAGGCUGAGAACCAGUGGCUUUCUAAGAAACUAGAUGUCCUUGUAGUCUUAAUCUGGUGCUGAAAUCAUGGAGGGUUCCUGGUCUUCAGCACUAGUUGGAAGGCUGAAGAAGCUGGGUCCUGAUGUCAGUGAAAGAUGGCAGCAAAAAGGUAGAUGGACUUGUGAGAGAAAAGCCACAAAAGCAAAUCUCGCACUGCCUACAAAGACACUGGGAAGUGCUGGUCAGGUUCAGGCUGGGCCUUCACGCUUAACAUAAUCACAAAACUCCCUCACCGGUGUGCCCCGAGGCGUGCGGCUUGGUUAAUUCUGAAUCCAAUCAAGUUGACAACCAAGAUUAACCAUCUCAGUGGGUCAGAAGAGCAGUGGUCCAGGGACUUCAGCCGGUUCUUGUAGAGAAAGGGCCCUGUGAUGAGGUAGUGAUGCUCACACAGGGAGCAUGUACCAUUCUUUGAAGAUUAAUGGUGUCUGUGAUUAGAGAGGCUAAUAGAGUUUUUGGUCCAGAACAGCACGGACACCCUAGAAACCCUAGAAAUCUGGGGUCACCCCAGAUGGCUGGUAGGGUGAGGACAGAAGAAGCUGGGCUAACAGCUUCUCCCCUGCUUUUCCCCCUAAUGUUCAAAGUAAUUUAAUUUGGCAUGUAUGUAAGUAUAUACUUUAAUUUGGCACAUGUGUAAGUUUUUUUUUUUUUAAGAUUUAUUUAUUAUUAUAUCUAAGUACACUGUAGCUGUCUUCAGAUACACCAGAAGAGGGCAUCAGAUCUCACUACCUUCGGAAGAGCAGUCGGUGCUCUUAACCACUGAGCCAUCUCUCCAGCCCACGUAUGUAAGUUUUAACACAAAUUAAAUCUAAAGCAUGAUUU